rnacentral:rRNA from 1 species
UACGGAGGGUGCAAGCGUUAUCCGGAUUCACUGGGUUUAAAGGGUGCGUAGGUGGGCAGUUAAGUCUGUGGUGAAAUCUCCGGGCUCAACCCGGAAACUGCCAUUGAUACUAUCUGUCUUGAAUAUCGUGGAGGUAAGCGGAAUAUGUCAUGUAGCGGUGAAAUGCUUAGAUAUGACAUAGAACACCAAUUGCGAAGGCAGCUUACUACCCGAAUAUUGACACUGAGGCACGAAAGCGUGGGGAUCAAACAGG